AUAGUACUCCCUCCGUCCAAAAAAACUUGUCCCUCAAAUGGAUGUAUCUGGCACCAAGUUAGUGUUAGAUACAUUCAUUUGAGGGACAAGCCUGGGACAAGUUUUUUCGGACGGAGGGAGUACUAU
rfam:Triticum urartu cultivar G1812 contig381978, whole genome shotgun sequence.